UUGGUUCUGCUGAUUUGGCAGAAAAGCAUCUGGGUUCACAGAGUCAGCUGGCACCACACUUAAUGGCCAAAGAGAGAGUUUGCAAAUGCACACUCACACACACUAAAUGGUCGUGUUGUGUAUGUCUCAACUUGGCCCCCCCAGCAGUUCUCGGUCCACAAGGAGCCGUGCUCUGAAAUGUGGAGCCGUGCGAUGACAGGCCGAUCGGCGACGGACAAUGUGCCGUAAUUUGUGAGGGGCCAAGCCCUGAGAGGAAUGAUGGGUCAUUAAGAGGAAGACACUGAGAGACACCAUGGGGGCCACUGGUGUGUACUGACAAGCCAACAAACCCCAUUCUGGUCUCUUAUAACACACAGACAAACACACACACGCACACACACACGCACACACACACACACACACACACGAAAGCUCAUUGUGGUCUAUGCAAGCAAUUCAGCACAUGAUACAACUGCACAUACAGGUAUGUAUGUGUCUUCCAACGGUGGUCCAAAAUGGUCAAACAUAUUUUUUAGUAUGACUGUUUUGAUACCAGACAUGCAGUUAAUUAGUUAAUGAUUGUUUUCUGAAAACCUAUUAGCGGAAGCUGGGUUGUGAGUGAGAAGCUACUGUGAGUUAGAAGGUCAAGGUUAUGUAAGGUCACAAAACGCUCAGGUUUUGAUUACAUUAGGGACUGUGUAGUGACUGUACGCACCGUAUAAAUCUUUCAUGAACAUUCAGCUUCUUUCAACUUCAACAUUUGAUAAAUUAGAAAGAUAACACUUCAUUGUUCUAAUUCACCCAAUGUCUGUACGCGUGCCGUACGAGAGGAUUCAAAGUCUAGGAUUAAAAUACUUUGCGCUUUGUCGGCUAUUUCCACAGCCAGAAUACAAUUUGUAUGGCAUAAAAAAGAUAAAUUGUGUGGUUGAAAUCCAAAACGUAUGAUAAGAAUUAUUUGACCCUGUGGAAAAUAUCAAAUGUUUUCCUUUUCCUUUAUAUUUCCUCUCGCGAGCCUUUUCAUCUUCUUCACCACAUUUCUACUGGGACCCAAAACCACACACAGGACCAAAUCCUCAAGAUAGGAGAGAAGCAGAUAGAGAAUGGGAGCUGAGGAAGAUGAGGAGGGAGCCACGCUUUGAUCUUGCCGCUUGUCUGCCAUGCUGUUUCCUUUCAAGGUUUCCUGUCACACAUCAGGAGAAAUUCUCUCCGACGCUCCCCGGGUGCUUUUGGAACCCAUUUGUCAAGCGGGCAAGACAGAAAGCGGUCGAUGGAUUCCAGAGGUUGAGGUGAUCCCUUCCAUACAGCGUUUCAUCCGUGGGAC